CCUACGGGAGGCUGCAGUAGGGAAUCUUCCACAAUGGGCGAAAGCCUGAUGGAGCAACGCCGCGUGGGUGAAGAAGGUCUUCGGAUCGUAAAACCCUGUUGUUAGAGAAGAAAGUGCGUGAGAGUAACUGUUCACGUUUCGACGGUAUCUAACCAGAAAGCCACGGCUAACUACGUGCCAGCAGCCGCGGUAAUACGUAGGUGGCAAGCGUUAUCCGGAUUUAUUGGGCGUAAAGGGAACGCAGGCGGUCUUUUAAGUCUGAUGUGAAAGCCUUCGGCUUAACCGGAGUAGUGCAUUGGAAACUGGGAGACGUGAGUGCAGAAGAGGAGAGUGGAACUCCAUGGGUAGCGGUGAAAUGCGUAGAUAUAUGGAAGAACACCAGUGGCGAAAGCGGCUCUCUGGUCUGUAACUGACGCUGAGGUUCGAAAGCGUGGGUAGCAAACAGGAUUAGAUACCCUUGUAGUC
rnacentral:rRNA from 1 species